UGUAAUCAGCCGAUUGAGCACAGCUGUGCCUAGUUAAAGAGAUCGCCGGGCAAUUGGACAACUGGAGUACAUGAAGGAGUAUUUAAAGCACAGUUAAAUCACAGUUUGGGAGUUCGGGCACGAGAGGGGGAUUGACACGGGGAAAGCUCCUCUGCUUAAUGCAGCAAAAGUAACUACGUACCUUUUGAAGAGCCCGCAGGCUCUGUUGAUCCGGGCUGCGCUUGGAGCGCGCGGAAAGAAGACAGGAGCUGCCUGGGGUGAAAGAAAGGCGAUACGUGGGUGGAGAAAAGGAGCACCCCGAAGAGAGCAUUGUGCUGACAAGUCGUAGUGUGUGCUGAGGAACGGAGCUGUGCUCAUUGUUAGACGUGGUGGCUGUCUGUAUUUCUCUCUCUCUCCCUCUCUCAUUGUAGUUUACGGUGGACCUGCUGGAGUAAACGGAAGAUCCUAUGGGUAAAAAGGAACUUUGGUCUAACCAGUACUUUUGAAGGAGUAAAGCAGGAAGAAAAUUGACCUUGUUGUACCACGUAAACAAAGGCUAUUUGCUGUGAGUAUACCCUUUUGGUGUGGAGUAACGUGCAAAAAUGAACCUGUGAACCGUUGGAAACCUCCAGGAGAAGGAGGGCGGCCCUACCCCUAUAAUAGUGUGGUGGGCGAGCCGUUAGAAGGUAAAUCCAAACAGCCACUUCAACGAGACUUAUUUUGGUCGUAUUUUCCAUCGCCCCUAUCUCAGCCCAAGCGCAGUGGAGGACACCGGGCGCUUCCCUUGUUGUGUUGCACUUAUAGUGUGGUGAGUGAGACUUUGCAAUUAAUAAGCUUUUCACGUUGGAGUGGUGCUGUGUAUUUGCUGUGGGUUGCUGUGUGUCUUGUUAGACGAAGCCCCGCAUCAUCCAUUUCUUCUACUGGGCAGAAGACGGAGAGGCUAACGACCUCAGAAAUUACUGCUACCAUACGCAGUGUGCUGUUUCGGAGUACGAAGGGACGCAGACCAAGAGCUGUCAGUGACUGUGAGUAAAACAUUGGAAAUAUUCGUGGUAUAAACUUACCUGUGUCUGUUUUGUCGCAGAGUCAGAGGCGAAAGGGUCCGCCGCCCCCGCGGUCUCUACAAAGGGGCGCCCCUGUCCAGGAUUCGAUCGGCCUACGGGCAGUGGAGAUAGGGCAGCGCUCGACCCGGUGAGGUGGUGUGUGACCUUCGCCCCUCUGCUGACCUACGGAGGAAACCAUACCUACCCAGAAAGCUGUAAACAGCAGAGCCGGUGAGAAAUACUCGAAGUCUCAGUAACAGUGUCUUUGUGUCUUAGUGGCCACCUGUGGAGAGAGAGAAGAACGAGAGUGAAUAAUUGAAGAACAGACCGUGAACGUGAUACCUACCCAGAAAGCUGUAAACAGCAGAGCCGGUGAGAAAUACUCAAAGUCCAAGUAACAGUGUCUUUGUGUCUUAGUGGCCGCCUGUGGAGAGAAAGGACAACGAGAGUGAACAAUUGGAGAGCAGACUGUGAACGUGAUACCUACCCAGAAAGCUGUAAACAGCAGAGCCGGUGAGAAAUACUCGAAGUCCAAGUAACAGUGUCCUUGUGUCUUAGUGGCCGCCUGUGGAGAGAAAGGACAACGAGAGUGAACAAUUGGAGAGCAGACUGUGAACAUGAUACCUACCCAGAAAGCUGUAAACAGCAGAGCCGGUGAGAAAUACUCAAAGUCCAAGUAACAGUGUCUUUGUGUCUUAGUGGCCGCCUGCGAAGAAGAAGAACGAGAAUGAACAUGAGGAGAGUGGACUGUGUGAAGAUACAGUUGGUGGUGGAGGAGAGCCUAGAGUGGCCAUUAUUUUAAGUUCCCCGUUUUCCCUUCCCUAUAUAUCUUUUUAAGUAAAUUAAAUAAAGUACCUUUUUAAUAUUAUGCUUACCUUGUGUGUCUGGUCAUUGUGGUGGCUUUGGGAAUCUCCUCGAGGUGGAGAAAGGGGCGUGACCUUAGUUACAUCUGGGUCCACCCCUACCUGUGACAGAUUUGGCGUAGUCGGCAGUCCACCUCGGGUUGAGACCAAGGUCCCCCAAUGGCCUACCACAUUUUUUUAAGAUCAGCUCCCAUCACCGCUCUAUCAGUCCCCAAUCAACGCGUUCUCGGGACGAGAACGGAUUGGCGGGGGAGGAUGUCACAAGGUGACGAUCUUUUCGGGGCGGAACCAAAAGUCGGGAAACUUUGGUUCCGCCCGGAUGUUUCCGCCCAGACCGGAGAACGGAAACACCGGACAUCCGGCAGCUUCGCGAAGGCUGUAAUCAGCCGAUUGAGCACAGCUGUGCCUAGUUAAAGAGAUCGCCGGGCAAUUGGACAACUGGAGUACAUGAAGGAGUAUUUAAAGCACAGUUAAAUCACAGUUUGGGAGUUCGGGCACGAGAGGGGGAUUGACACGGGGAAAGCUCCUCUGCUUAAUGCAGCAAAAGUAACUACGUACCUUUUGAAGAGCCCGCAGGCUCUGUUGAUCCGGGCUGCGCUUGGAGCGCGCGGAAAGAAGACAGGAGCUGCCUGGGGUGAAAGAAAGGCGAUACGUGGGUGGAGAAAAGGAGCACCCCGAAGAGAGCAUUGUGCUGACAAGUCGUAGUGUGUGCUGAGGAACGGAGCUGUGCUCAUUGUUAGACGUGGUGGCUGUCUGUAUUUCUCUCUCUCUCCCUCUCUCAUUGUAGUUUACGGUGGACCUGCUGGAGUAAACGGAAGAUCCUAUGGGUAAAAAGGAACUUUGGUCUAACCAGUACUUUUGAAGGAGUAAAGCAGGAAGAAAAUUGACCUUGUUGUACCACGUAAACAAAGGCUAUUUGCUGUGAGUAUACCCUUUUGGUGUGGAGUAACGUGCAAAAAUGAACCUGUGAACCGUUGGAAACCUCCAGGAGAAGGAGGGCGGCCCUACCCCUAUAAUAGUGUGGUGGGCGAGCCGUUAGAAGGUAAAUCCAAACAGCCACUUCAACGAGACUUAUUUUGGUCGUAUUUUCCAUCGCCCCUAUCUCAGCCCAAGCGCAGUGGAGGACACCGGGCGCUUCCCUUGUUGUGUUGCACUUAUAGUGUGGUGAGUGAGACUUUGCAAUUAAUAAGCUUUUCACGUUGGAGUGGUGCUGUGUAUUUGCUGUGGGUUGCUGUGUGUCUUGUUAGACGAAGCCCCGCAUCAUCCAUUUCUUCUACUGGGCAGAAGACGGAGAGGCUAACGACCUCAGAAAUUACUGCUACCAUACGCAGUGUGCUGUUUCGGAGUACGAAGGGACGCAGACCAAGAGCUGUCAGUGACUGUGAGUAAAACAUUGGAAAUAUUCGUGGUAUAAACUUACCUGUGUCUGUUUUGUCGCAGAGUCAGAGGCGAAAGGGUCCGCCGCCCCCGCGGUCUCUACAAAGGGGCGCCCCUGUCCAGGAUUCGAUCGGCCUACGGGCAGUGGAGAUAGGGCAGCGCUCGACCCGGUGAGGUGGUGUGUGACCUUCGCCCCUCUGCUGACCUACGGAGGAAACCAUACCUACCCAGAAAGCUGUAAACAGCAGAGCCGGUGAGAAAUACUCGAAGUCUCAGUAACAGUGUCUUUGUGUCUUAGUGGCCACCUGUGGAGAGAGAGAAGAACGAGAGUGAAUAAUUGAAGAACAGACCGUGAACGUGAUACCUACCCAGAAAGCUGUAAACAGCAGAGCCGGUGAGAAAUACUCAAAGUCCAAGUAACAGUGUCUUUGUGUCUUAGUGGCCGCCUGUGGAGAGAAAGGACAACGAGAGUGAACAAUUGGAGAGCAGACUGUGAACGUGAUACCUACCCAGAAAGCUGUAAACAGCAGAGCCGGUGAGAAAUACUCGAAGUCCAAGUAACAGUGUCCUUGUGUCUUAGUGGCCGCCUGUGGAGAGAAAGGACAACGAGAGUGAACAAUUGGAGAGCAGACUGUGAACAUGAUACCUACCCAGAAAGCUGUAAACAGCAGAGCCGGUGAGAAAUACUCAAAGUCCAAGUAACAGUGUCUUUGUGUCUUAGUGGCCGCCUGCGAAGAAGAAGAACGAGAAUGAACAUGAGGAGAGUGGACUGUGUGAAGAUACAGUUGGUGGUGGAGGAGAGCCUAGAGUGGCCAUUAUUUUAAGUUCCCCGUUUUCCCUUCCCUAUAUAUCUUUUUAAGUAAAUUAAAUAAAGUACCUUUUUAAUAUUAUGCUUACCUUGUGUGUCUGGUCAUUGUGGUGGCUUUGGGAAUCUCCUCGAGGUGGAGAAAGGGGCGUGACCUUAGUUACAUCUGGGUCCACCCCUACCUGUGACAGAUUUGGCGUAGUCGGCAGUCCACCUCGGGUUGAGACCAAGGUCCCCCAAUGGCCUACCACAUUUUUUUAAGAUCAGCUCCCAUCACCGCUCUAUCAGUCCCCAAUCAACGCGUUCUCGGGACGAGAACGGAUUGGCGGGGGAGGAUGUCACAAGGUGACGAUCUUUUCGGGGCGGAACCAAAAGUCGGGAAACUUUGGUUCCGCCCGGAUGUUUCCGCCCAGACCGGAGAACGGAAACACCGGACAUCCGGCAGCUUCGCGAAGGCUGUAAUCAGCCGAUUGAGCACAGCUGUGCCUAGUUAAAGAGAUCGCCGGGCAAUUGGACAACUGGAGUACAUGAAGGAGUAUUUAAAGCACAGUUAAAUCACAGUUUGGGAGUUCGGGCACGAGAGGGGGAUUGACACGGGGAAAGCUCCUCUGCUUAAUGCAGCAAAAGUAACUACGUACCUUUUGAAGAGCCCGCAGGCUCUGUUGAUCCGGGCUGCGCUUGGAGCGCGCGGAAAGAAGACAGGAGCUGCCUGGGGUGAAAGAAAGGCGAUACGUGGGUGGAGAAAAGGAGCACCCCGAAGAGAGCAUUGUGCUGACAAGUCGUAGUGUGUGCUGAGGAACGGAGCUGUGCUCAUUGUUAGACGUGGUGGCUGUCUGUAUUUCUCUCUCUCUCCCUCUCUCAUUGUAGUUUACGGUGGACCUGCUGGAGUAAACGGAAGAUCCUAUGGGUAAAAAGGAACUUUGGUCUAACCAGUACUUUUGAAGGAGUAAAGCAGGAAGAAAAUUGACCUUGUUGUACCACGUAAACAAAGGCUAUUUGCUGUGAGUAUACCCUUUUGGUGUGGAGUAACGUGCAAAAAUGAACCUGUGAACCGUUGGAAACCUCCAGGAGAAGGAGGGCGGCCCUACCCCUAUAAUAGUGUGGUGGGCGAGCCGUUAGAAGGUAAAUCCAAACAGCCACUUCAACGAGACUUAUUUUGGUCGUAUUUUCCAUCGCCCCUAUCUCAGCCCAAGCGCAGUGGAGGACACCGGGCGCUUCCCUUGUUGUGUUGCACUUAUAGUGUGGUGAGUGAGACUUUGCAAUUAAUAAGCUUUUCACGUUGGAGUGGUGCUGUGUAUUUGCUGUGGGUUGCUGUGUGUCUUGUUAGACGAAGCCCCGCAUCAUCCAUUUCUUCUACUGGGCAGAAGACGGAGAGGCUAACGACCUCAGAAAUUACUGCUACCAUACGCAGUGUGCUGUUUCGGAGUACGAAGGGACGCAGACCAAGAGCUGUCAGUGACUGUGAGUAAAACAUUGGAAAUAUUCGUGGUAUAAACUUACCUGUGUCUGUUUUGUCGCAGAGUCAGAGGCGAAAGGGUCCGCCGCCCCCGCGGUCUCUACAAAGGGGCGCCCCUGUCCAGGAUUCGAUCGGCCUACGGGCAGUGGAGAUAGGGCAGCGCUCGACCCGGUGAGGUGGUGUGUGACCUUCGCCCCUCUGCUGACCUACGGAGGAAACCAUACCUACCCAGAAAGCUGUAAACAGCAGAGCCGUGGCCGCCUGUGGAGAGAAAGGACAACGAGAGUGAACAAUUGGAGAGCAGACUGUGAACGUGAUACCUACCCAGAAAGCUGUAAACAGCAGAGCCGGUGAGAAAUACUCGAAGUCCAAGUAACAGUGUCCUUGUGUCUUAGUGGCCGCCUGUGGAGAGAAAGGACAACGAGAGUGAACAAUUGGAGAGCAGACUGUGAACAUGAUACCUACCCAGAAAGCUGUAAACAGCAGAGCCGGUGAGAAAUACUCAAAGUCCAAGUAACAGUGUCUUUGUGUCUUAGUGGCCGCCUGCGAAGAAGAAGAACGAGAAUGAACAUGAGGAGAGUGGACUGUGUGAAGAUACAGUUGGUGGUGGAGGAGAGCCUAGAGUGGCCAUUAUUUUAAGUUCCCCGUUUUCCCUUCCCUAUAUAUCUUUUUAAGUAAAUUAAAUAAAGUACCUUUUUAAUAUUA